CAGUAGCCACGGGAAUACGUAGGGUGCAAGCGUUAUCCGGAUUUAUUGGGUUUAAAGGGUCCGUAGGCGGACUUAUAAGUCAGUGGUGAAAGCCUGUCGCUUAACGAUAGAACUGCCAUUGAUACUGUAAGUCUUGAGUAUAUUUGAGGUAGCUGGAAUAAGUAGUGUAGCGGUGAAAUGCAUAGAUAUUACUUAGAACACCAAUUGCGAAGGCAGGUUACCAAGAUAUAACUGACGCUGAGGGACGAAAGCGUGGGUAGCGAACAGGAUUAGAUACCCCUGUAGUCCCUGUCUCUUAUAU
rnacentral:rRNA from 1 species